AGGUUUUCUUAGUGUCUUCUCCUCCAUCUAUAGACCAGGCAGCUGCCAGCUGCAGGUGGAAAUGCUUGCUCAGAGCUCCAGGACAUAAGUGUGACUGGCUGUGAGGGGAUAUACUAAUGGGAGAAUGGUAGACUUCAUGUGGAGAAAGAGCUCCUCUCCAUAGGAUAGUUCCCUCCAGAAGCAGACAAGCAAAAACUAGCUGUGCUUCAAAGUCCUCCAGCAUCCUUCCACACCUACAUUUCCAGUAUCACCUACCAUAGUUCUUCCCAAAUGCUAUGACGAGCCUCAGUAGUGCAGCAUGAACACUACAGUGCACAGAGGAAUUCCAACACAGCCUGGAUGAGAGAGAGCCUGAAGAGGCUGGUGUCC
rnacentral:lncRNA from 1 species